AGAGUUUGAUCAUGGCUCAGAUUGAACGCUGGCGGAAUGCUUUACACAUGCAAGUCGAACGGCAGCACGGACUUCGGUCUGGUGGCGAGUGGCGAACGGGUGAGUAAUAUAUCGGAACGUAUCCAGUAAUGGGGGAUAACUAAUCGAAAGGUUGGCUAAUACCGCAUACGCCCUACGGGGGAAAGCUAGGGACCUUCGGGCCUGGCGUUAAUGGAGCGGCCGAUAUCUGAUUAGCUAGUUGGUGGGGUAAAGGCCCACCAAGGCGACGAUCAGUAGCUGGUCUGAGAGGACGACCAGCCACACUGGAACUGAGACACGGUCCAGACUCCUACGGGAGGCAGCAGUGGGGAAUUUUGGACAAUGGGCGAAAGCCUGAUCCAGCCAUUCCGCGUGAGUGAAGAAGGCCUUCGGGUUGUAAAGCUCUUUCGCAAGGGAAGAAAGAUUAUCCUCUAACAUAGGAUGAUUAUGACGGUACCUUGAUAAGAAGCACCGGCUAACUACGUGCCAGCAGCCGCGGUAAUACGUAGGGUGCGAGCGUUAAUCGGAAUUACUGGGCGUAAAGCGUGCGCAGGCUGUUUUGUAAGUCAGAUGUGAAAUCCCUGAGCUCAACUUAGGAACUGCGUUUGAAACUACAAGACUAGAAUAUGUCAGAGGGGGGUAGAAUUCCACGUGUAGCAGUGAAAUGCGUAGAGAUGUGGAG
rnacentral:rRNA from 1 species